rnacentral:rRNA from 1 species
AACGAACGCUGGCGGCAUGCCUAACACAUGCAAGUCGAACGAAGGCUUCGGCCUUAGUGGCGCACGGGUGCGUAACGCGUGGGAAUCUGCCCUUUGGUUCGGAAUAACAGCUGGAAACGGCUGCUAAUACCGGAUGAUGACGAAAGUCCAAAGAUUUAUCGCCAGAGGAUGAGCCCGCGUUGGAUUAGGUAGUUGGUGGGGUAAAGGCCUACCAAGCCGACGAUCCAUAGCUGGUCUGAGAGGAUGAUCAGCCACACUGGGACUGAGACACGGCCCAGACUCCUACGGGAGGCAGCAGUGGGGAAUAUUGGACAAUGGGCGCAAGCCUGAUCCAGCAAUGCCGCGUGAGUGACGAAGGCCCUAGGGUUGUAAAGCUCUUUUACCCGGGAAGAUAAUGACUGUACCGGGAGAAUAAGCCCCGGCUAACUCCGUG